rnacentral:ncRNA from 1 species
UCUGCUCUGGAAGGGCAAGAAGUCUAAUCUUGUGCCAGGACCUACGGGUCAAGGGACAGUCUCAGGUAGACAGUUUCUACGGGGCGUAGGCCUCCCAAAAGGUAACAGAGUCGUACAAAGGUUGCCUCGGGCAAGACGGAGAUUGACCCUCGAGUGCAAGGCAGAAGGGAGCUUGACUGCAAGACCCAACCAUCGAGCAGGGAUGAAAAUCGACCUUAGUGAUUCGAUGGUGCCGAGUGGAAGGGUCGUCGUAUAUAC